rnacentral:rRNA from 1 species
AUGUUACCUUCUCCUUGGUGCUGCAGAAACAAAGGAAAUGUGGCAGGGAGGAUUUCUAAAGGAAAUGGCCAUGCUUUAACUAUGGAAAGAGAAGGGAUGCAGAUGGAAAAGCACGAAGCCUUGCUUCAGGACAAAGCGGCAUGGGGAGCUGCGACACAUCUCUUGGGGCUGAUCCUUCCGGUUGAGGCCUCGAAUGCUGAACGGCGUGGUUCCCAAAGAUUGAAGCAAACAUGGAUGAAAUUCACUGUGGCGUCCUGUAGGUUGUCUGGUCGUUUAAGCUUUCCUUGUGCUUCCACUGAGCUGUAG